rnacentral:rRNA from 1 species
AUAAAAUCUACACAUUCUGACCCAUAACCAUGAUAAUAGAACCCGGUUACCUCAGGGAUAACAGACUAAUCUUCCUUAAGAGCCCAAAUUGACAGGAAGGCUUGGCACCUCGAUGUUGGCUUAGGAGCCCAGGGGGUGCACCAGCUCCCUACGGCAGGUUUGUUCAACCUUUAAACCCCUACGUGAU